rnacentral:rRNA from 1 species
UACGUAGGUGGCAAGCGUUGUCCGGAAUUAUUGGGCGUAAAGCGCGCGCAGGCGGUCCUUUAAGUCUGAUGUGAAAGCCCACGGCUCAACCGUGGAGGGUCAUUGGAAACUGGGGGACUUGAGUGCAGGAGAGAAGAGUGGAAUUCCACGUGUAGCGGUGAAAUGCGUAGAGAUCUGGAGGAACACCGGUGUCGAAGGCGGCAUCCUGGACCGACACUGACACUGAGGAGCGAAAGCCAGGGGAGCAAACGGG